UACGUAGGGGGCUAGCGUUGUCCGGAUUUAUUGGGCGUAAAGAGCGUGUAGGCGGCCAGGCAGAUCCGUUGUGAAAACUCGAGGCUCAACCUCGAGACGUCGAUGGAAACCGUCUGGCUAGAGUCCGGAAGAGGAGAGUGGAAUUCCUGGUGUAGCGGUGAAAUGCGCAGAUAUCAGGAAGAACACCUAUGGCGAAGGCAGCUCUCUGGGACGGUACUGACGCUGAGACGCGAAAGCGUGGGGAGCGAACAGG
rnacentral:rRNA from 1 species